AGUUUAAGCUAGGGGAGCCUUUUCGGCUGAGAUUGAACACUGUUCUAAACCCUUUGAACCUGAACCGGGUCAUGCCGGCGGAGGAAAGCGGAUUGCCGAUUUA
rnacentral:ncRNA from 2 species